rnacentral:rRNA from 1 species
UAGCGGAGGAAAAGAAACUAACAAGGAUUCCCCUAGUAACGGCGAGUGAAGCGGGAUGAGCUCAAAUUUAAAAUCUGGCGGCCUCAGGUCGUCCGAGUUGUAGUCUAGAGAAUCGUUUUCCGCGUUGGCCUGUGUACAAGUCCCUUGGAACAGGGCGUCAUAGAGGGUGAGAAUCCCGUCCUUGACACAGACUACCAAUGCUUUGUGAUGCGAUCUCGAAGAGUCGAGUUGUUUGGGAAUGCAGCUCAAAAUGGGUGGUAAAUUCCAUCUAAAGCUAAAUAUUGGCGAGAGACCGAUAGCGAACAAGUACCGUGAGGGAAAGAUGAAAAGCACUUUGGAAAGAGAGUUAAACAGUACGUGAAAUUGUUAAAAGGGAAACGAUUGAAGUCAGUCAUGCUUUCCGAGACUCAGCCGAUUCUGUCGGUGUACUUCUCGGUUGGCAGGCCAGCAUCAGUUUCGAUCUGUGGAAAAGGUUGGAGGGAACGUGGCAUCCUCGGAUGUGUUAUAGCCCUUCUUCGAAUACAUAGAGCGGGACUGAGGAACGCAGCGCGCCUUUUAUUAGGUUGGCCCUCGGGUACAUACGCGCUUAGGAUGCUGGCAUAAUGGCUUUAAACGACCCGUCUUGA